UGGGGAAUUUUGGACAAUGGGGGAAACCCUGAUCCAGCCAUCCCGCGUGUGCGAUGAAGGCCUUCGGGUUGUAAAGCACUUUUGGCAGGAAAGAAACGUCAUGGGUUAAUACCCGGGAAACCGACGGGACCUGCAGAAUAAGCACCGGCCAACCUAGUGCCCGCAGCCGCGGUAAUACGUAGGGUGCAAGCGUUAAUCGGAAUUACUGGGCGUAAAGCGUGCGCAGGCGGUUCGGAAAGAAAGAUGUGAAAUCCCAGAGCUCAACUUUGGAACUGCAUUUUUAACUACCGGGCUAGAGUGUGUCAGAGGGAGGUGGAAUUCCGCGUGUAGCAGUGAAAUGCGUAGAUAUGCGGAGGAACACCGAUGGCGAAGGCAGCCUCCUGGGAUAACACUGACGCUCAUGCACGAAAGCGUGGGGAGCAAACAGG
rnacentral:rRNA from 1 species